GUUAAAUAAAUAGGAUUGGGAGAUAUAGUUUAACUGUUUCGCUCCUAUAAUGUCAACCGAUUUCUGAAGUUGACCAAGUGAUCAGCCGUCUGAUAACGCUUACCUGCAUGAAAUCCACCAAUAUAUAAUAAACCGACAAUUUUUUGCUGGAUACGAAACUUUUUCUUACAUUAUUAAUUCUAUCAAAUUAUAAAUCACUUUUACAAUAGUAAACUUCUAAAUCUACACAGUAUUUAUAAUAAAUUUAUCUUAGACGUUUGAAAUAUUAACGAAGAUAUGUUAAGUACAUGAAAAGUAUGCAGCCAAUGUGUUUUAAAAUGACGGAAAAAAACACAUAAACAUUGUUCCUGAAUUGCCCCUAAGCGCCAGUGCGACUCGUUCGUAGAAAGUUAGUAUUCGUUAUAGUUAGUUGCUUAAUUAAGAAGUCUGUUGGUAAUAAAGUCAGUUCGUUCGUACCCUGUUGGUCGACCAGCUCGUCAGUUGGUUACAGUCAUUAAUUCUAGUUGAUGAAUAACUAAGUUGAUAAGUAAGUUAUUACGUUAGUUUGUAUGCAGUUGGUAGAUAAGUCCGUUGGCAGUAGUUUAAUUUGUCCGUUUCAAAAAAGAAAGCGUUGAUAGUUGCCUAGUAAGUAUAUGCUGGUCAUUGAGGCUGGGUAAUAAAGUAGUUGGACGGUAAAAGGUCCGUUG